AUGGCACAAUCUGAUAAGGGGAUGCCUCAAGUUGGCAUGUUAUUUAAAAGUUCAGAGGAGGCUUGGCUGCUUUGGAGAGCAUAUGGUGGUCGUGCUGGCUUUGAUGUGAGGAAGGGGUACAACAAUGUGAGCAAAUUUGAUGUGAAGGUCAUCGUGGAAGCUGAGUCCACUCCUACUACAACUCCAGCCGCCAGUGGCGCAUCCAUCACCAGGCUUUCGGGUAGGGGUCGGGAUGGCCGGGUCCGCAUCCUAGCUGCAUGCGGCCAGCAAUCCGCCCGUGGAGAAAAGAGAGGAUGCCUGGCCUGGAUUGGAUUGGACAAAACCUAG
rnacentral:rRNA from 1 species